AGAGUUUGAUCCUGGCUCAGGAUGAACGCUGGCGGCGUGCUUAACACAUGCAAGUCGAACGGGAACCCCUGGAUUCGUCUGGGGGGGAGAGUGGCGAACGGGUGAGUAACACGUAGGUGACCUGCCUCGAAGACGGGGAUAACCACUGGAAACGGUGGCUAAUACCCGAUAGUCUCGACGAUUCGGUUCGUCGAGUAAAUGUUCCGGCGCUUCGAGAGGGGCCUGCGGCCCAUCAGCUAGUUGGUAGGGUAAUGGCCUACCAAGGCAAAGACGGGUAGGGGACGUGAGAGCGUGACCCCCCACACUGGCACUGAGACACGGGCCAGAUCCUACGGGAGGCAGCAGUGAGGAAUAUUGCGCAAUGGGCGAAAGCCAGACGCAGCAACGCCGCGUGGGUGAUGAAGGCCUUCGGGUCGUAAAACCCUUUUCUGGGAGAAGAGCAAGGACGGUAUCCCAGGAAUAAGCCUCGGCUAACUAUGUCCCAGCAGCCGCGUUAACACAUAGGAGGCGAGCGUUAUCCGGAUUUACUGGGCGUAAAGAGCGUUGAGGCGGCCUUGUAAGUUGGACGUGAAAGCUCCCGGCUCAACUGGGAGAGGUCGUUCAAUACUGCAAGGCUUGAGGACAGCAGAGGGGGGUGGAAUUCCCGGUGUAGUGGUGAAAUGCGUAGAUACCGGGAGGAACACCAGUGGCGAAGGCGGCCCCCUGGGCUGCUCCUGACGCUGAAUGCGAAAGCUAGGGUAGCAAACGGGAUUAGAAACCCCGGUAGUCCUAGCCGUAAACGAUGGAUACUAGGUGUAGGGGGUGAAAAUUCCCUCUGUGCCGAAGCUAACGCGUUAAGUAUCCCGCCUGGGGAGUACGGCCGCAAGGCUAAAACUCAAAGGAAUUGACGGGUCUCCGCACAAGCAGCGGAGCGUGUGGUUUAAUUCGAUUCGACGCGAAGAACCUUACCAGGGCUUGACAUGCAGGUAGUAGUGAAGCGAAAGCGGAACGAUCCCUCGGGAAGCCUGUACAGGUGCUGCAUGGCUGUCGUCAGCUCGUGCCGUGAGGUGUUAGGUUAAGUCCUGUAACGAGCGCAACCCUCACCGUUAGUUACAUGUGUCUAGCGGAACUGCCCGGCAAAACUGGGAGGAAGGUGGGGAUGACGUCAAGUCAGCAUGGCCUUUAUGUCCUGGGCUACACACACGCUACAAUGGCCGGUACAAUGGGUCGCCAAGCCGUGAGGCGGAGCCAAUCCUCUAAAGCCGGUCUCAGUUCGGAUUGUAGGCUGCAACUCGCCUGCAUGAAGCUGGAGUUGCUAGUAACCGCAGGUCAGCUACACUGCGGUGAAUACGUUCCCGGAGAUUGUACACACCGCCCGUCACGUCAUGGGAGCUGGUAACACCUGAAGCCGGUGGGCUAACCUAACGGAGGCAGCCGUCGAAGGUGGGACUGGUGACUGGGACGAAGUCGUAACAAGGUA
rnacentral:rRNA from 1 species